CCCACUGGUUCAGACAGAAGCCUCUGGGAGAGCCCUCCAGAGUCCACCUUGAAGGCUUCAUUCCUUCUACCCAGAGCAUCUCCGUGGAGAGGAAGAAAAAGCAUCAACGAAAUGAGGUGCCCCAGCGGUUCUGGGGAGCAAUUCCUCUCUUCAUAUGACCAUUUGGGAAACCCCCAGUGAGAUGGAGUGUGCUUUUAAGCCAUGAAAACCAUGCACAUCAGCCCCACCACAGAGCCUGUGUGAUUUCAUCUUAGAUGGUAUCUUGGAAGCAAGACCUACCUGGACUUUUUAGAAAUCUAAUCUAAUCAUUUUCUGUCUUGGAGUAGAGGAGUAGUCGACUAUGUCAUUGUUAUUCCCAAAGAUGGAAGGCAGAAUCAUCAGAAAUUACAGUGACAGGGGUUCCUGCUCGGUAGUAUGCCGAAAAGGGAGUUGAAAGGCACAAGUGCGGACAAGAGGAUCAAUCAAAGCUCCGUUCUGUUCCCAAUCCUUCCAGUCCCGAUGCUCCAGAGAGCAGGGGAGGCACCUGUACACAGGUACUGGGCAUGACUGAUGAGGCAGUGCCCAGGAGCCCAACUUCCUCGAAGCGAGAGAAAGGACAGAGAUGCUAAGAUCUGCACACUUCCACAUUUUAGAGAAUUUGGGAGACCCAUGUUGGAUGUGGACCGUGGUUCUUAUUGGUAUUAUUUUCUGAGUGGUAGAUGUGCUUAAUCCCAGCACCUGCCUAAACUGAUGACAACAGCGGCUUUCCUACUGGAAGGACAUUGCCACUUGAUAGCAUAUGCUGUACCUCGCUUGCAUGUCCCUGCUUCCAAGCUUUGGGGAUUUCUAGGAUUGUUUUCUCCUAGUUUCCUUGUGUCACGUGGGCUCCUUUAUAAAAUAUCCCCAUAUAAUAGUGCAUGAUGUGCUCUAUUACAAAACACAAAUGUGUCUGUCCAAGACAGCCUGGGGGCAGCGAGCUGGGGCGUGGCAAGGAGACCAACUGGAAUGACGGGAGAGCCCUAGUGGAUGCACAGUGCACCGCUCUUACACCACAAGCCUCCCGCCCCAGCAUGAUUUAACCCGUGAAGAAAGCAGAGCAUUUAAUAUGUUCUACAGAUGUUUUAAAAAAGGAAUAACGGCGCUUGUCCCAAGUGUGGGAUGGAGGCACACACUCUUCUGAGAUGUGAAGCAAAUUUCAUAUCUCAAAAGAGAAAAAGGACAACAGUUCCUGCUCAGUCACCAAGUCUGAUUCUCAACCCUGGAACGCCUCAGCCUGCCUGAGCCCAGAAAUGAGGCUCCUUGUGAACACUAUGGAAAUGCAAUGGCUGUUUUGAUUUUCCAUAAUGGACAGCACACUGGUCCAGGAGGCAUAUCCAAUCUAAAUGAACUAGCAUCUGUGAAACUUCCUAGCACAGUCCCAGCACAUCGCAGGAGCUGAACUAAUGUUCUUUUCCCUUCCCAAGGAACCCUGAAGCCUUUGAAGGAACCGUGAUUGGGAAGGCAUCAGCAUUUGCUUUUCGCUGGUAUAAAUUUGGACCACUGGUCUGCCCGGGGUGUCCCCUGCCAGUGGUCGUGGACUGCUAGGGAAGCACAGCACACCCCCCAACACCCCCCCGCAAGGAAGACCCCUCAUUGCCCACCAAUGUCCUCUUUCUGGCGUCCCUCACGUUCCUGGCCGAGACCCUCCGUUCAGUCACGCCAUGAGGUCAGGGCCACGGUUGCCAUUGUCUGCUGGAAGCCAGUGCAGCACUUGGAGCUUAGAAGAUGCACACAACUCUUUGUUAAAGAACAAAGAAAUGGGAGAAACUUUUUAAAAGAAAAUAAACAGAGAGAAAGAGGGUGAGACGAAGACUGUGGCUGAGGCUUUGUUUUCAGGCCGAAAGCAGGACACUCAGCUCAUUCUCAAUGAAACUUCAACAUCGAUAAUUCAAAUGUCUUAGAAAUUGUACAUUGGAAGGGGAAAUAAAAUGAUUUUUCAGCUCUUUUAGGCUUACAGAUACCUAAAUGAAGCAUAGAUUGUAGAAUGUUGUUCAGAAGGGAAUUAAAUUUGGAUUUCAUCCUUCCCAGGGACUGGGGGCACUGCUUGUCACUUUGACUCAAAUGGAGAGUCCCUGCCACUGCUUGCUUGCCUUCAUCUGACCACACUGUGCUAAGCGCCCAGCCCCAGGGUAUAGCUGAGCCCUGCACCAGCUGCAGUGAACCGCUUGGCCGGGUGCCCUCUUAGAUCCUCCCUGCCCUGUUCCCUGGCUCUCUGUCCCCUGCGGUCCUCUUCUCUAGGACUGUUGAAACUUCUCCGCAUCUGGUCAGCUUCACACAAAAGGGCUCCUAUUUUACAGGCUGAGAGCCCCUUCCUGUGUGUUGUCAAAACUGACACAUCGCAUUGCUUAGGUUUAAUCUUCAGGUACUUUUUCUGUUUUUUUACCUAUAAAAUUAAUAUAAGCAUAUGCUCCCGUAAUCAACACAAUUUAGAUAAAGCAAGAGUUCCUCUGGGCCCUCCCACUUCCAUUUGCAUUUUCUUUUCUGUGGACUAACUGGUCAUCUUCUUUAUCCACUUGUCUAUGAGGUUGUUGAUCUUGGUCUUUUUUCUUAUUAACAGAUAGGAAUUCUUCAUAGAGCCUAGAUAACAAUCCAGAAUUCAUGUGUAUACGCACGCAUUUAUCUAUAUGUAUAUGUAUAAGCACAUUACACACAUACAUUUGCACACAUACAAAUGUUAGAAAUAUCUUCUCCAACUCUGUUGCUUGUCUUUUAUCUCAGCUUAUAGAGGUUUCCGAUUUUGAAUCAGAAGUUUCACAUUUCAUUGAAGGUAGACAUCACUCUUUCUCUAUUUGCUUUUGUGAUUUGUGUCUUGCUCAAGGCCUUCCCUGUCCUACCCCCAUGUCAAAAGCAUGUUCUCCACUAUUUUCUUUCAGUCCUUAAUCUUUCUUCCGUAGGUAGCCAAUGUCCAGCACGUUUGGUAAUGACACCUCCUCGGUGAAGCGCAAGGCCACCUUGACCCCAGCUCCCAUGGGUCUGUCUUCAGGGGAAUUUUGAGGUUGUUUUUGCUGCAGGGUGUCAGGAACUCCUUCCUCUCUGAUUCUUGGAAAAGUUUACUGUUUGCUGCUGGCUUUGUGGUCUCUCCUCCCUGUGCAGGUAGGGUGUGGAGGGUAAUCAGAGUCAGUCCAGAGGUUGCUCAAAGUUUCAGUUUAUCUCCAGCCACUAUUUGCUAACUCAUCUGAGAAUUCUGCCAAGAUAAACAUCAGACAGACCCUCCUAUGGUUCAAUCAGUCUGCUCCUGGGAAAAUUAGGACAUGUGUCUGCCCGGCUCUGCUGGUGUUCCUGAGAGUGACUGGUCUCUGUGUGACCUUUCAUUGGCCAGGCUCCCCCAAGGGAAACGUCCACCAGCAGAAAAAGUAGGAAAAAAAUCCCUUUAUGCAGAGAAAAUACACUGCAGAAACAAACAUAGUCUAACCCUGCCUUUUAAAACAUAGCUUUUAGACUGAAAGAGUUCACCCUUCCUCUCUCCACCUGGUCACUCUUGGGAUGACAAUUUCAAAUCCCACAUAACAUUCACAGUGUGUUAUUCCCAUGCAAUUACCUUGUUAGGUUUCAUACAUUUAGAACACGGAGGGGGACAGGGGAUGCUUCUCCGCAGUCUCUUCGUUAUUGGGACAUACUCCAACGCUCAGACAGCUCCACAAUGCACCUUUCUCCCACUCUUCAUUCCUUUUCUGGCAACACUCUUUCUCUCUCAGAGGAUUUUAAAAACAUGUCUUGUUACAAAAAGCAAAGAAUGACAGUUGCUUCAGAAAAAUACCCAACUGAAAGAUCCACUCCCUGACCAUGGAGAGCUCACUACAGAUCUAGAAACGCGAGGCAGAGACUUGAAGAUGCUGCACACAUCCUGUGUGGGAGUGGGAGAAAAGCUGCUGCUUCCUUAGCAUUAAAACAGACAGGGUCAUUUCAGCCUUGCAGGGGAUGACCAGCCCUCACUGGAAUUAUGUGAUGGCAUCACAUUUGCUCCUCAUGUAAACAUUCCAGCGGGAGAACGACUGCUCCCUGAAGACACUCAUGGUGUGAUAAACAGCAGUCAGUGGAAUCAAGGCAGGGGCGAGGUCCUCUUCCUUCUGCCUCCUUCUCACCAUGGCACCUUGAGAGAGGCCCUUUGUCCCUCGGGUUUUUCCAUUUUCUCAUUUGCAAAAUGAAGAGGAUCCCAUCUACACCGUCGUGUUUAGAAAUGACACAAGAUCACAAAAACCUCUGCCGCCUCGAAGAUACAGAAUUGCUGGUGAGGCUCGUUGUCUGAGAGCCGGGCUCUGCUCCCCUCGGGGCCAAGUCUACCAAUUGUUCUUUGGAAAACAAAAGCUGGAGGCAUUAAAACUGGGCUGUUCCAAGUGUUCUUUACGUUUUAUAAAUUUUAUAAGGUGAAACUCAAUAUUUAGAUGAUUGGUAGAAACGUCUCUUGGGGGCUUUAUGGUUUUCUAACAUAGAGUGGGGGGACAUGUUACCUCGGCAGGAGCAUGUGGGCUGAGAGGAGGGAACCACAUCAGGGAGGCCGGUGACUGGAGAGGGAAGUCCUCCUCCUGUGGAGGGCCUGGCCCUCAUGGAUUCCCCACUUCCAGGCAACUUUGUGACCUCAGAGAAGCUAACCUGAUGUGCAUGCUACUGACGUUGCCCAUGCCGCUCCUGCUGGCUGAUGGAACUAUCUGUCUGGAGUCUGUGGAUGGCAGACCUCCUGAUUGUGUGGAGCGUGAGUUUUUCGAAAGAGAUCUCUCACUUUCAUCCAGGCUGGAGUGUAGUGGCACACACCACCACACCAGGAUAAUUCUU
rnacentral:lncRNA from 10 species